rnacentral:snRNA from 1 species
AGCUUUGCUCAGUGUCAGUAUCGUAGCCAAUGAGGCUUAUCUGAGGAGUGAUUAUUGCUAAUUCAAAACUUUUCCCAGUAACCAGCUUGAUGGCUUGAAAUAUACUCUACAUUGGCAAUUUUUUUUUUUUUUUUUUAGUUAGAA